GGGAGUGGGGUGCUGAGGAAGAGGAGGCCCAGGGGGUGAAGGAAUGACCCCUGGCUCCCUGACGUCGGCGAGGUUCUGGUCCUGUAGAAGGUGGUCCUCUUGGAAACCCCUAAAGUUCCAGCUUCCUCUGAGCUCUCCCCAGCAUCUGACGCAGCCCGGAAAGCCAGCUGCUGGGCCUAGGUCUGGGCCCUGGCCCCCGGUCACCUGGGCUGGACCACACUGAAAGGGACCUUGUCCUGCACCCAGCCCCUGCUGUGUAGGGUGCCUUGGGCCUCGGCAAACAUCUCUUUCGGUCCCUGGCACUGUGCAAGCUGGUUUUGCAGAUGGAGAAGCUGAGGCGCAUGGAGGCAAAGUGACUUGUGAUGGCAGAGCUGACGCACAUGACCUGACUCUGAGCCUGGUCUGGGCUGGUACCUCGCCGGCGUGCCUCUCUGUGCCCCCGCAGCCCCAGCACAUUCCAUUGGCUGCCUCCCCAGGUCAGCGUCAGAGCCAGAGCCUGGAGCAGGAGGUAGCUCUCCUGGGAGGGCGCAGAGAUCCACUCUGCAAGCCAACAAAGCCCCCAGCCCGAGGCCCAGGGUCACAGGGCCAGGGGGCAUCGGGCGUGGCACUCACGGUUGGCAGCCAGGCGGGCGUGGCUGGCGUUGCUGUGGGAGUGGGCCUGGUGCACGGAUUCAUCCACCACGGCCGCCAUCCAGUUGGCCAGGUUGGUGGGUCGAGGCCUGGCAGAGUUUGAGUGUCUGGUUGUUUAUUCCUGGGAGCAAGGCCAGCCUCAGGCAGGGUCUUGUCCAAGGUAGGAAGACCCUCUGGUGACUUCUCACUCGCUUUGGCAACACCCCCUGCCCCAUCUUCAUCCUGGGUUGCCCUGCAAGGCCUCGCCCUCCUCUGGCUGCCAGCCAGUCCUUCUGUGUGGGGUCUCUGUGUUUUCCUUUCUCCUGAGUAUUCUUCAAACCCACAACAUGUAAAAGACUAAAACGACAUGGAUUCCAGUCAGAAAUGUGUUGAAUUGUGGACAACGGGCCCCGGGGAUGAUGGUUCAGGGGAGGAACCAUACACGUGGUCAUUCUGGUCUUACAGGGCUGGGCCGAUCUGGUCCCAGGGAGGGCCAGUCCUGCCUCAGCUUGGUAGGAAGAUCGUUCAAACUGUUAUAUGUGCAAUGAAGAAAGUAUAUAUAGUUGAACAUCUAGGGAAAACCCCAGGUACAGCCUAUCCUAUUUCCUGAACAAAUACACAAUACUGUAUAGGGGCCAGGGCUGAGGGCAAACUGGCCAUGGCGGGACCCUGGGCUGAGACUGAUGCCCUCCACGGGCACCCAGGGAGGGCAGGCCAGGCUCUAGGAGACAGGAUGGCUGCCAUGACUCACACCUCUCAGGUGCGAACUGGUGGCACUGCUCAGGCUGAAGUGAAACCACAGGGCCCCCCCAAGUGGGCCCUCACAUUUGGAUGUGACUUCAUUAUCCGGUGCUACCAAGUGCCUCAUGACCUCUACAGUCCUAUCCCCACAUUACCUGACUGUUGAGGGUAGAAUAAGGGUGGAGCUCAGCCCUCCUGACCCCAUUCUGGGUGCUGGUUCCUGUCCACCACACUCAAGGACCCUCCUCCUACCCAUCCACCCACCCACCUGGAUGACGACAAACACAGCCUGGGUGAGAGGGUGCAGAAUCUUGAUGGCCGACUGGCACUCGUAGAAACUGGAGUAGUAGCCCGUCUUGAAGACAUCCAUGACCAGGGUGCAGAUCCCAAACAGCACCAGCCCACCUGGGAAUGGGGGGGUGGGGGAUCAGACAGGGGGGAGAGGAGGC